ACUGGAGGGUAAGAUUCAAGGUUGCUCAUUUCAAGCGUUAUUUUCUAUUGUUUAAUUCAUGUUUAACUUAACAACAGCUAAAGGGCAAAAGAGAGAAGAGAAGAGGGUCUUUUAGGUUUUGUCCUCUGGGAGAAGUUAAAUUUAUUCUGUACUGUCUCUUGGUAUUGGAUCCGAUUUUACUCUGGAAUUGAUAUCUCAAAUGAAAGGAAAAAAAACCCUGUUAAGUAUUUUUAUUCAUCGAAAUUUUUUUUAGGAAAUAAAAAUCAAAUUCCUCAGCACUUAACGUAUACAAGGGCUGGUAUUUAUGCAGACUGCGGUCUCUGGAAAUUUUUAUGCAUUGUAGGGACGUGUUGGGUGUUUUCCCUUCCCUUCCCUUCCCUUCCCUUCCCUGCAAGGCUCCAACCGGUGAGCACUAGAACUGGAAAAGCUCGUAUAAAAUUGUAUAGCCGCCUUUGUUGAUUUUCUUUUCAUUUCCCUUUCGUUUUUAAUUCUUUUCAUUUCCCUUUCGUUUUUACUUUCUAAUACCAAACAUAAUAUUUAAAUUAUUUCUGUUAGAAAAAUAAUAGUUAAUAUUCUUUUUUUUAAUGUUUUUUUCCCACCCAUUCUUGCAAA